GGCUAGCUCAAUCGGUAGAGCGUGAGACUCUUAAUCUCAAGGUUGUGGGUUCGACCCGUAAGCUUUAUUCCACGAUCCUCAGCAUCA